CAGCGUAGGGCGCAAGCGUUGUCCGGAAUUAUUGGGCGUAAAGAGCUCGUAGGCGGUCUGUUGCGUCUGCUGUGAAAACCCGGGGCUUAACCCCUGGCUUGCAGUGGAUACGGACAGACUAGAGGUAGGUAGGGAGAAUGGAAUUCCCGGUGUAGCGGUGAAAUGCGCAGAUAUCGGGAGGAACACCGGUGGCGAAGGCGGUUCUCUGGGCCUUACCUGACGCUGAGAGCGAAAGCGUGGGGAGCGAACAGG
rnacentral:rRNA from 1 species